rnacentral:misc_RNA from 1 species
GAUGAAGAACGUAGCGAAAUGCGAUAAGUAAUGUGAAUUGCAGAAUUCAGUGAAUCAUCGAAUCUUUGAACGCACAUUGCGCCCGCCAGUAUUCUGGCGGGCAUGCCUGUUCGAGCGUCAUUUCAACCAUCAAGCCCCAGGCUUGUGUUGGAGCCCUGCGGCUGCCGCAGCCUCCCAAAACCAGUGGCGGGCUCGCUAUCACACCGAGUGCAGUAGUUUACUCUUCGCUCAGGGCGUGUGGCGGGUGCUAGCCGUAAAACCCCCAACUUCUCAAGGUUGACCUCGGAUCAGGUAGGAAUACCCGCUGAACUUAAGCAUAUCAAUAAGCGGAAGA